UGAGUAGUACGGAUGGCCGCGCCGUUUGGGCGGGAAGGUAUUGUCUUUCCCCUUUUGCGGUGAGGAAAGUCCGGGCUUCAUAGGGCAGGGUGCCGGAUAACGUCCGGUGGGGGUGACCCCAAGGCCAGUGCAACAGAAAAGAAACCGCCUGCGCAGUCCGCUUUGGCGGGCAGCGUAUGGUAAGGGUGGAAUGGCGGUGUAAAAGACCACCGCUUCCCUGGUAACAGGGAAGGCUGUGUAAACCCCACCUGAAGCAAGACCAAAACAUGCCUUUGGGCAGGGAAGGCGAUACGGCGGCCCGUCGUGCCUUCCGGUAGGUCGCGUUCCGCCGCAGGGCGGAGGAGCUGCAUGGUGACAUGCAGUCAAGAAAGAUGGUCAUCAGAUACAGAACCCGGCUUACAGUACUGCUCACAUC
rnacentral:RNase_P_RNA from 1 species